UACAGAGGGUGCUAACGUUGUUCGGAAUUACUGGGCAUAAAGCGCACGUAGGCGGCCAGGUAAGUGUAAUGUGAAAUCCCACGGCUCACCCGUGGAACUGCUUUGCAUACUGCCUGGCUCGAGGAAGGUAGGGGAGAGCAGAACUCUUGGAGGAGCGGUGAAAUGCGUAGAUAUCAAGAGGAAUACCAGUGGCGAAGGCGGCUCUCUGGUCCUUUUCUGACGCUGAGGUGCGAAAGCUAGGGUAGCGAACGGG
rnacentral:ncRNA from 2 species